rnacentral:rRNA from 1 species
UGGGGAAUUUUGGACAAUGGGCGAAAGCCUGAUCCAGCAAUGCCGCGUGUGUGAAGAAGGCCUUCGGGUUGUAAAGCACUUUUGCCCGGAAAGAAAUCCUUGGCUCUAAUACAGUCGGGGGAUGACGGUACCGGAAGAAUAAGCACCGGCUAACUACGUGCCAGCAGCCGCGGUAAUACGUAGGGUGCAAGCGUUAAUCGGAAUUACUGGGCGUAAAGCGUGCGCAGGCGGUUUGCUAAGACCGAUGUGAAAUCCCCGGGCUCAACCUGGGAACUGCAUUGGUGACUGGCAGGCUAGAGUAUGGCAGAGGGGGGUAGAAUUCCACGUGUAGCAGUGAAAUGCGUAGAGAUGUGGAGGAAUACCGAUGGCGAAGGCAGCCCCCUGGGCCAAUACUGACGCUCAUGCACGAAGGGGUGGGGAGCAAACAGGAUUAGAUACCCUGGUAGUCCACGCCCUAAACGAUGUCAACUAGUUGUUGGGGGAUUCAUUUCCUUAGUAACGUAGCUAACGCGUGAAGCUGACCG